rnacentral:rRNA from 1 species
GACGAACGCUGGCGGCGUGCUUAACACAUGCAAGUCGAACGGAAAGGCCCUGCUUGCAGGGUGCUCGAGUGGCGAACGGGUGAGUAACACGUGGGUGAUCUGCCCCUUACUUUGGGAUAAGCCUGGGAAACUGGGUCUAAUACUGGAUAGGACCAUGCUGUAGGUGGUGUGGUGGAAAGAUUAGUUUCGGUAAGGGAUGAGCUCGCGGCCUAUCAGCUUGUUGGUGGGGUAAUGGCCUACCAAGGCGUCGACGGGUAGCCGGCCUGAGAGGGUGGACGGCCACAUUGGGACUGAGAUACGGCCCAGACUCCUACGGGAGGCAGCAGUGGGGAAUAUUGCACAAUGGGCGCAAGCCUGAUGCAACGACGCCGCGUGGGGGAUGACGGCCUUCGGGUUGUAAACUCCUUUCAGCCAUGACGAAGCCCUUGUGGUGACGGUAGUGGUAGAAGAAGCACCGGCUAACUACGUG